rnacentral:rRNA from 1 species
GAUGAACGCUGGCGGCGUGCCUAAUACAUGCAAGUCGAGCGAAUGGAUUAAGAGCUUGCUCUUAUGAAGUUAGCGGCGGACGGGUGAGUAACACGUGGGUAACCUGCCCAUAAGACUGGGAUAACUCCGGGAAACCGGGGCUAAUACCGGAUAACAUUUUGAACCGCAUGGUUCGAAAUUGAAAGGCGGCUUCGGCUGUCACUUAUGGAUGGACCCGCGUCGCAUUAGCUAGUUGGUGAGGUAACGGCUCACCAAGGCAACGAUGCGUAGCCGACCUGGGAGGGGGAUCGGCCAAACUGGGACUGAGCAACGGCCCAGACUCCUACGGGAGGCAGCAGUAGGGAAUCUUCCGCAAUGGACGAAAGUCUGACGGAGCAACGCCGCGUGAGUGAUGAAGGCUUUCGGGUCGUAAAACUCUGUUGUUAGGGAAGAACAAGUGCUAGUUGAAUAAGCUGACACCUUGACGGUACCUAACCAGAAAGCCACGGCUAACUACGUGCCAGCCGCCGCAGUAA